AAACUUUCAACAACGGAUCUCUUGGCUCUCGCAUCGAUGAAGAACGCAGCGAAAUGCGAUAAGUAAUGUGAAUUGCAGAAUUCAGUGAAUCAUCGAAUCUUUGAACGCACCUUGCGCCCUUUGGUAUUCCGAAGGGCAUGCCUGUUUGAGUGUC
rnacentral:rRNA from 1 species